CAUUCAUCACUUGGGUACAGACAUCUAUACUUAUUCAACAUGGUAUUAAUCAUAUAUCUCUAUUUUGACUUAGUUAUGGAGUUUGCAUCUCUCUCUAUCUUUAACUUCAAAUUGUCUUUCUUCAACAUUCCUUUAUUUUCAGAACUUACUUUUUUUCUUUUUUUUCUUUUUUUUUCCAGGUGAUAGGCCAUAGCUUACUUUCAGUUAUCACCCUCAUUAAUAUUAAGCUUGUUCCACUAAGUCUGAUAAAAACAGGGAGAAGCAAAAACAACUAUCUUAAUUACAUGCAUCCUCCAACAGCAGGCAGAAACACUCAAAGUUGGGGUCAAAUAAUUAAACCUGCAUAUAUCUCUUAACUUUUAUUCCACUACUCGACCUAUAAAUUAUCAAAGCUAAAGUUCUAAUAGACUUGACACUUUUGGAAUUCCCCAAUCAAAAAAACAAAACAAUAAUUUCUUAGUUCUGAUGGGGAAUAAUUAAUAUGGAAGGGCUUUAAAGAAGAAGAGGUAUUUGGGUAAUACAUGAGUAAAGAUAGGCAGUAUGAACCUAAAACUAGGUUGAAAAGCUUUGUAGGUAAGAAACCAAUCAUAGAAGCUUACAGCAGAAGUUCAGAUUGAGUCAUAUCUAUUUUGCACUGAUUAUAGAUAAGUUAGUUGAGCAUUUAUGUGUUGGUGACAUCUACAAUACUAUGUUAAAGGAAGAGGUGUCCAAUCUACACAUCCACAAUUAGUGACCUGGCAUAAAUUCCACCUCCAAUUAAAAGAUAUGGAUAUAAUGAUUUUAUAGGAAGUACAGGUGAAACACUGGAAUCCAUUAUUACUAGGGUAGAGUGGAAGGAGGGAUGAACUCACAAGACCGCCACUCAUAAAAUUUUCACAAGAGCACAACGUAAGGAAUGUGCUCAGUUGUACAUUCCAAUUGACAAGACUAGGAAAAAUACUAAUGAAAAGUUAUAACCAUGUAAGGAAGCUUUAAAAUAAAAUAAAAAAAGCUGUGAGAAAAUAACUAAUGUGGAAAAUGUAAUAAAAUUACAAAAAUAAGUGCUUUUUUGGAUACACUUCAUGUUUUAUUGUUUUUAAACAAAGAAAAUAGUAGUUUCUAUCCCUUUUACGCAUCCCUAAAUCUGUUACAAAAAGGAUUGAGAAAAUCCAAAGAGAUUUCCUUUGGGGGGGAGGAAGUUUGGAGAGGAAAGCUCACUUAAUUAAGUGGAAGGUGGUUUGUAGCCCUAAGGAGGAGGGAGGAUUAGGCAUCCGAAAAAUAGAUGUAUUGAACAAAGCCUUGCUGGGCAAAUGGGUGUGGAGAUACGCCUAUGAGAAGGAGAAUCUAUGGAAAAGGGUGAUAGGGGUGAAAUAUGGUCAAGAGGGGUGUGGGUGGAGGACUAAGGACGUUUGUGGGCCUUAUGGAGUGGGACUGUGGAAGGAGAUCAUGAAGGAAGCUGAUUGGUGCUGGGAGAGUAUUGUGUUUAAGGUAGGCAAGGGGACCAGAAUUUUGUUUUGGAUGGAUAAGUGGUGCGGUAAUGAGGCCCUUUCUCAAAUUUUCCCUCAGCUGUUUACUUUGGCGGGUCAUAGGAAUGCCAAAGUAAGUGAAGUGUGGGACUCUAGCCUGGGUCAAGGAGGUUGGAAUCUCAGAUUGGCUAGAGAUUUCAAUGAUUGGGAGCUGGAACAGAUAGGAAAUAUGCUGAAUCUGCUGAAGGAUUUCAGGACUUCGACUGAGGAGGAUGCUGUAAGAUGGAAAAGGGAAAGCAAUGGUGUUUUCGGGGCUAAGGGUGCUUACAAAAUGUUGGUUGGGUCCUCAGCCUGUGUCUUCCCGAACAGACGCAUUUGGAUGAAUAAGGUGCCAACAAAAGUAUCUUUUCUUGCUUAGGAAGCUUCGUGGGGGAAGAUCCUCACCUUGGAUAAGCUUCAAAGAAGGGGGCGGCAGCUCCCUAACCGGUGUUUUCUGUGUGGAUGUGAAGAGGAAAAUGCGAAUCAUAUUAUGUUACAUUGUACAGUGGUUAAGACUCUUUGGGAGAUCGCUCUCGCCAUUUUUGGAGUCCAAUGGGUGUUCCCAGAAUCAGUUAUAGAAGUGUUACUUAGUUAGAGGGGUUCUUUUGUGGGGAAAAAAAGAAAAGACACCUGGAAUUCCAUUUCGUUGUGCAUUUUUUGGACGGUUUGGAAGGAAAGGAAUAGGUUAGCUUUUAGGGGGGGGUCUUUAGAUAUACAAAAAUUCAAGAAUUUUUUUGUAUGUAAUUUGUGGAGUUGGGCUAGGGUGUAUAUUGGUGAGGAUACCUAUUCUCUUUUAGGCUUUUUGGAGUGGCUUGCGGUCACUUGAGGGUGGGUGAGGUUUUCCCUCUUUUUUGUUCAGUUCGUCUUUUUGGGCAUUUGUGUAUACCCCCUGUAUACAUGCGGCUUUUUAGCCUUUUCUAAUAUAUUCUGACUGUUUAUCUAUAAAAAAAAAAAACAAAGAAAAUAGUAGUAAUUUUCAUGUAAAAUAUAACAACUCUUAUAUGAAAAGUAUAAACCUACCUCAUGUCUUUAAAAAUUACUUUGUAAAUUAGAGGUAGGUUUAUACCUCAAAGCGUAAAAUCCAAAAUCUUUUUAAGGCAAGUCUCAAAGAGUUCUUGCAUUUUAGACAGAAGUUACCAUUGUUUUCCUUUUGAAAAAAUAAAAAACAAGAAGUGCAUCCAAAAGACACCUAAAUAAUCUGAUGUUAGAUUGACGUCUACAAGAAAUCCAGGAGCAACUAUUUGCAUUAUUUUCUUUUCAUACAUGCACAGUGAUUGAUGAAUCAAAGAGAACAUUCCUUGAAGAACUAAUGCUAUAUGAAUGAACAAGAGAGUUAUGACACAACUAUGAAUACAUCCUGUGUACUUGGAUUGCACCUUUUUUUUGCUAGGCCCCUUCUAAUAAAUCAUUUUUCUAUCAAAAAGAACUACAAUCAUAAAAUCCUCAAAUUUCAAAUUUCUAAAUGUUGCAGCAUGUCAGCCUAAAAAGCACGAGAAUAAGAUGAAUUGAGUACAAAAACUAGAAGGAAUAGAUAUUAAGUCAUUUCCAGCAGAAAUGGGGGCAAAAUAAAGGCCAAUGAUUAAACUAAUUAUGAUUGAAAUGGUUAAAGUAGCAAGUACUAUGAACAGAGGGAAGGUCCAAGGAACGUAAAUCUUAAGAUAGUGCAAAAGAACCUAGUGGCCUACCAUUCUUCAAGAAAAAAUGCACACAAGUCACAACGUAUAAAGAUUAAGAUUCUGAUGGUUGAUGACGUAUGGUUGAGAUUUGAUACCAGAAUAAGAUGCAUACAUAACAUGCCUCAAGCUCAAAACUUUUCAGUGGGUAUGAGGGGUUGCUCAGUGUUUCAUGCGGCACUUUGUUAUUGGGCAAUUUUCUGUGUGUUUGCACGAGUGCCAUCAUGUGUUUGGCUUCCUCAGAAUUUAAAAAAAAAAAAUAGCAUACCUGAAAAGAAACAACAGAAGCAGCCAAAGAAAAGGGUCACUUACCAUUACUCCUUCAGCAGCAUCCACAAUCAAGACAGCACCAUCGGCAAGUCUGAGAGCAGCAGUCAUCUCAUCAGAGAAAUUUACAUGACCUGGAGUGUCCAUGAUGUUACAAAGAUAAGAUUUUGAAUUGCUAUCCUCAAGAACAAGUGACAUGGGAACAGCCUUAAUUGAUAUCCUUCUCUCUUGCUCAUCAAUCCUCGUAUCUGUGUAUCUCAUGUGCUUCUCACUAUUUGAAUCAAAUGUUGAAAUAUGGUGUGUUUGCUCAACCAGCAUGUCCAUGAAUAGUGUCUUUCCAUGCUGUAAAUGUCCGACCAGAGCAACAUUCCGAACCAAAGCUGGGUUUGACAUAAGACCCAAAAGAAACUGGGUUGACACAUAUGUCGACGAAUCCUUCACUCCCAACUCAAACUUAAUAUUCCUAACAGGUUUGAUUAUUGGUUGUUCAAGUGGUUGCUCAUCUUCAUCCAUUACCAAGGUUUCAACAUCUUCACCAUAGACUUCUUCAGCAGUAGGAUAGUACUUUUUGUCUUCAGCAAGGACAAUCUGGUUGUCCAUGUCAACAUCAUUAGAUGCAGUUAUCCACCCAUUAGAGGCUGCAACUGCAUCCUCAACAUCAGAUACCAUUUCCUCUUCAUCAGGCUUGUCAGGGAUGUCCUCAUCUUGAUCAUCUCCAUCACUUUCUCUGUCAGACUCAAUUUCUGGUCCAAUGUAGUUUCCAAAUUCAUCAUAUAAACUGUCAUCCAUGGUUCUUUCAAAUCUGCCACAUUGUAUAACCAAUUAUUAGUAUGGAACAGCAACCACCCAAUCAAGAAAGAGUUGUUUAGGGCAAUGUUCGGUUCACAAUCAUCAAUGGUCUUUGCCCACUUAAGACCAAAUGUUCUCUUAGAGCCUAGGCACGACAGGGAAGCCCAUGGCAUGGGCUCGAGUGAAAUGAUGCAACAUUAAUUAAUGUAAUUUUAUAAAAUUUAAUACGCUAAUACUUGUUGCAUACCAUAAAAAAAUAAGAAAAAAAUAUUCUCAAGAAAUUCAGGGAAAAGAACAUUUCAGUAAUUUCAUGAAGAGUUUCAUUGAAUAGUCUCAGUAAUUUCAGUUUUUAAAAAAUGUAUAAGAAAAAAGGCCAAAGUUUCCAAAGAGUGCACAUGUGAGCUAAAAACAGCCAAGUGUCCAGAAAAUGCAAAAUCAUCUAAGAAAACUUAAGUGAGAAAAAUUAUAAAUAUGUCAUAAUGCAAAUUGUACCAAAAUUUUAAAAGAAAAAUUUUCCAAAAUAUCAGGAAAAAAAAUCUCAAAAAGACAUUUCAGGAAAAAUUAAAAGAGAAAACGAAGAAGUAGAGCGACAAGUGUGUGCAGUGUGACGAAGUAAGAAACAAUGAAACAGAGAGCGUGUCGGAGCGAGUGGUGCAGUUGGGACUUGAAAGUUGUUGGUAUCUUCUCCUCCCCCAAGGAGGAGCAGAAGAGACUUGCAGGAAGAUUAGGAUUAGGGUUACUUUUUACAGAGAAGAGAGAAGAAAUUAAAGAAAUGUCGGGGUUUGGAUCUUUCACCUUUUCUCAAUUUGACCCAAAAACGAAAAAUGAAAUGGGUUUUUGAUUUGGUGAAUCCUGCAUCUGGGUUUCUUUUCUGAUCAAUUUUCCAGUCAUAUUCAAGAUGGCAAACAAUUCAAGGGUUUUAACCUAAAUACUACAAACCAUCAAACAGCUGAUACUAGAAUCAAAAGAAUAACCCGUUUUUGGAUUUUUUUUGCGCAGAAAUUGAAUUAAAAUUACCUAAUCCUUACAGACACGUAUACAUCCAGAGAAAGAGAUAUAGAGAGUACCUGAAGAGGGAGUUACAGGAAGUGAAUCCAACUGAGUGUUCAAGAGUAUUGAAACGAGAGGGUUUAUAGAGGGGUUGGCCACGGCGCGGCUGUCAAGAGGAAUUGGGCCUACACCUGGCUAGAUAAAGCUCGAGCCAUGUAGGUUGGACUGAGUUUGAGCCCAAUGGGCUCGAGUAUGUUGGCCUCCGGUGGCUUACUCUCUGUUUGGAAACUAUUUGGCACUGUACCUUGAAAACAAUGUUCUGUCGAACUUAUGACAAAAAAAUUAAAAAAUAAUAUUUAUUUAUUGAAUACAAAUGUUUAUAAAAUUGAUGGUAUUAAAAUGCUGUAGCAAAAAUAUAAUUGUUGGAAAAAAAACCACAUAUGAAGCAAUUGUCAAAGAAUCAUUUAAGUAAUUACUCAAAUCUACUUCAAAUGAUUAUUUAUAUUUUUAAAAUCAAAUUUAAAAACAUUGUUAUAAAAAACAACUUUUAAACAUUAGGAAAUGUAUAUAGUAUUUACGAAACCAUUCUCAAAUAAACUUCAAUUACCUAUUAAUAUUAACUAUUAUAAUUUUAGAUUAUUUAUUUGAUUUCAUCGAUACCACAAAAUCAUAUUUGAAAAGUCGCAGUAUGUUUCUCAAUUGCCAUUUAAUGGAAAAAGGUUUUGAAUUAUCUUAUAAAAUGCCUAAAAUCUACAUUGGUUGUUCACGGAUGAAUUCUUUUUUCAAGUAGCGAAUGAAAUUACAAAAAAUUGAGAACCAUUAUAUUUUUAUGAUACAAAUGUCUUAACCUUAAGAAAAACAGAGAAAAAAUAAAUAGAUAUAAUUCAAGAGAAAAAACUUUUUUUAAAGAACUCUAUUCAUUUGACUUUUGUCAUAUAAAGAGUGUGUGAGAAAGAUUUUUUUUUUAUUUUAUUUUUUUGUAAUUGUAUAAUAGCAUUUUUGUGUAAUUUUAAUUUCCAUAAAUUGUUUCAUGUUUCUUAUUUUGUUGGAUCGAGUCGAAUCAGUCCACAUGAGCACCCAAACCCAACUCCAACACCAUUAAACCCAUUUUUACAAUCAAUGAAGAUAAAAAAUUAAAUUAAAAAUAAUGAUUGGUAAAAUUAAAAAUUUUGAUAAUGAAAAUGUAUAAUAUAUAAAAUUUAAAAAAUGUUAACUUAUAGAAAAAUUAAACUCAUAGUAAGCUAAUAAAAUAAGAGUAUAUUCAUGUUCUUAAAUCACCUAUAAGAAGUGUAUUUAAUCUUCAACCACAAGUCAGCAAGACUUUAAUAUUACUUCUUUUUUUUUAUCACGUUUUGAAAAAAUAGAAAUAUAGUAAUGAUUACUCCAUGCUAUCAAUUACUAUACAUACAUAUAAUUAUUUACUUAAUUUGGAUUGGAGUUGCUUUAUUUUCCCCCAUACCUAACAUAGAUCACAAAAAGGCCUGCCUUAACCCUUCCAAGAUUGGAUUAAAUUCAGUUAAACCUGUUCAAAUUACAUCCUUAAUUGAUUUAGAGUAUUAUUGACAACGAUUUUAAGAAAUGUUUAUGGUAUUUAUAAUUUUUAAAAGAUAAAAUUUUUUAAGUAUUAAAAAUAUAAAAAUACUUUUUAAAAUUAAUGUUAAAUGCAUUCUUAAAAUUUGUUUAAAAAUGUUAGACAAUUUGUCUAAAAAGUAUUUAAGAAAAAUGCUUUUUAUUAAAAACAUUUUGAGUAGAAAUGAAAAUUUUUGUUAUGGAGUACAUUUACCCGAUCAUCAUCAAUUGUUGAGCAAAAAAUUUAAUGACUUGCUCAUGUCAUAAAAUACGGUAGUCAUGAAAAUAUUAAUAAAUUAUUUAGUUGAAAACAUUAAUUUAAUGAUUUGAAAUGUUACAUGAAUUAUUUAACAGGGACAUACCACCUACAAUCAUAUUAAAAAUCAUGAGAAAUAUUUGAUAAGUAAUUUGUCUAAAAACACUUUAAGAAAAACACUUUUUAUUAAAAACAUUUUGAGUAGACAUAAGGUGAAAAUUCCUUUUAUGGAUUACAUUUACCCAAUCAUCAUCAAUUGUUGAGCAAAAAAUUUAAUGAUUUGCUCAUGUCAUAAAAUACGAUGGUCAUGAAAAUAUUAAUAAAUUAUUUAGUUGAAAACAUUAAUUUAAUGAUUUGAAAUGUUACAUGAAUUAUUUAACAGGGACAUACCACCUACAACCAUAUUAAAAAUCACGAGAAAUAUUUGAUAAGUAAUUUGUAUAAAAACACUUUAAGAAAAACACUUUUUAUUAAAAACAUUUUAAGUAGAAAUAAGGUGAAAAUUCCUUUUAUGGAUUACAUUUACCCAAUCAUCAUCAAUUGUUGAGCAAAUAAUUUAAUGAUUUGAAAUGUUACAUGAAUUAUUUAAAAAGGACAUACCACCUACAACCACAUUAUAAAGUUUGGAAAAGAAUGUCCAUCCAUUGAACAAUGGAAGAAAGUGUGCCACCAUAGAAAACAUUAAUAAGCUCAGUCAUGAAAAUAUUAAUAAAUUAUUUAGUUGAAAAGUCCAUUCUUCCUUGUGUACGCUCAAAGGUCUUAGGUUUGAUGAGUUAAAUUUUAUUUUAUAUCUUAGAAUAAGAAGUUAAAUUGAAAAACCGAGAAUGAGAGAGAAGAGGAAGCCACAAACAUGGCGGUCGCUUCUCACAUUUAUUGUAACACACUUCACACACAUACACACGGAUGAAAGUCCUAGGCCACCACGUGUCACAAAUCACAGAGUCUGAGGGCAUUAUUUAGUAUUUAGUAUUUACUACAACACAACCCAGAAAGCAAAAAAGAGAAUUACAAACACAACCCUCUCAUUCAGCUGCUGGCCGUCACGUCCCUCCAUUCACAUUAUGACUUGUAGGCACGAGUCUCAAGGGUGGGUGGUUAGCGACUUACCAGGGGCGUUGGGGAGGGCCAGGAGGACCGGGAGGACCAUAAGGCCCCGGAGGCGGAGGGCCAAAGGUACCUGGCGGACCCGGGGGUGGCGGACCAGGGGGUGGCGGACCAGGGGGUGGCGGACCCGGGGGUGGAGGUCCCGGGGGCGGCGGCCCGUGGUGGUGUGGGUCGUGUGGUGGAUGAUGCAUCUUCUCUUCUUCUUCAAGGAAGCUGUGGUGUGGCGAAGGGGUUGGAGGGGGCUUCUCAAUUUAUAAUGUAGGGGAUGUGUGAGAAGUGGGAAAUGAGAUGAAAGGCAGCUUAAUUCAUCCUAUGUUUAUCUUUUUUAUCUACAAGUCAAACUUUGAUUUCUUUGAUUUUUUAUUAUUUUUUAGACGGUGUCACCUACUAUUCUAGAAGGCAAAGGGAAAUUGACAUCCAAAUUUUAUUUUCAUUUUAUUUUUUUGCCUCACGGCUCGGGCAUCUAUAAUUAUUUAUUUAUCAAUGUAGAAAAUCCUUGUGGGGAUAAAAGACACGUGAGUUCUGAUGGGGCGGGCCUCCAUCCCCGCAAUUCAAUCUCGCAUUCGCAUUCAUGUAUUAGGGUUUUGGACCACAAUAAUUAAUUAAAAAAAAUCAUAUUUAUAAUGACCUGUAAAAUAAUUCUCAAUUUAAUCCUUUUUUUUACAUGAAUUGUCACGUUCAUAAUUUUUAUUUUUAUUUUUGAGGUGCUUUCCAAUUUUUUAAUUUAAAAAUGACCUCGUUGAACACGUGGUCAGUAUGAAUUAAAUUAUAUAUUUUUAAAAUUCAAAUUAUAUUUAUAAUUAUUCCAAUCUUAUUAUGUAGAUAUUAUCCCAUUUGAAUCAAAAGUGGACAAUAUUUACACAAUUGUAUAUUGAGGAUUUGAUUGAUUCAUGAAGAGUAUUUGUUUACUUGACUUUAUAAUUUUUAAGAAAUGACAAAAACAUUAUGUUUGCAUGUGAUGUUCGUAAUAUUUCACAUAGGAUUGAGAAGGAAGUUAUUAAUUCUAUAUAAAUAUGAAAUUUUCUUAAUCAUGUAAAUGUGUUAUAAAGUUACAAGAAUCCUGUCAUCCUUAAAGAGGAUAAUGCUUACAAAUGUUUCAAAAUUAAUUUUGACUUUGUAGGGAGUGUUUAUCUUUUUGUGAAAAAGGAAAAUUAAAACUCUUUUUUAAAAUAAUUUUAUGAUAUUAAAAAUUAGAAAUUUGAAAAAUAAAAAAUAAUGUUUUGAGAACUUUUGAUGAAAUUAGGAUAUUUGAAUUAUUUUUCUUGUUUUAAUGAGAUUAUUUUUAAAAAUAAUUAUAUAAAUAUAAAGAAUAAUUUAAAAUAAAUUAUUGUAAAUAAAAACUAUUUUUAAAAAUAUAAAAAGAAUAUUUUAAGUGUUCAAACAAAAAUUUGUUUGGUAAACAUCAAAAUUUUGUUUGAAAAGUGUUUUUGAGUUCUAUUCUGAAAAUAGUCUUUAAAAACUAUUUUAUAAUCUUUCUAAAACAAAAGUUUCUGUUUUGACAGCUUGAAAGUUUGAAACACGGAAUUGCAGGCUUAUGCCCUACACGAGCAGGGGAACCUUCUGGAACUCGUGGACCCAAUUCUCGGUUCUAACUACUCUGAAUUUGGAUUUCUUAUGCACCAGCCCAUCUCCCACUCUCAGGCCAAAUUCCGCGUCUUCUGUAGUGAGCACGCUCCAAGGCAAAAUCGCUGUCCAAGCACCAAUAGCCAAGAGGAGCUCAAUGAACCAGGACAUGAGGUUCAAAGCCUUUGAGAGGCUGUCACAGGACAUAUCAUAUUAUGCUUUAUUUUCUUCUUUCAAUUUUUCCUCUGCUUUCUCUGCUACCAAACAAUGGCUUAUAUCAUUCUGCUGGAAAUUCUUUGUCCCUCUAUGCCAUAGCGAACUUGAUCUGAACCCAUAAUGUUUAUGGCCGAGUUGGAAUUCUGGGUAUUUAUUUUUUUCCUUUCUUUAAUUGGUUUGAAACCGGCACUGAAGCCGUAUUUUCAAAUUUUGACUGUUACAUAGGUUUUAAAGCCGCAUUUCCAAGAUGAGUUUUCUCAAUUAUGUAAGGGUUUGUUUGGAAAGUAUUUUUUAGAAUAGUUUCCUGUUUUUCAGAACGAAAAAACAAAGAAAAUGUGUUUGACAACCAUAAACUAUGUUAUGUUUUUUAUUUUUAAGAAUUAAAAAUAUAGUGUUUUAAAAAAACAUUUUUAAUUAUUUUAUAUUAUUUUCAUUUAAUUUUUUAGGGUUAUUUUAAAAAAUAAUCAUACAAAUAUGUCAAAUAUAUAGAAUAAUUAAAAAUAAAACAUUAGAUAUAAAAACAUAUUUAAAAAUAUUAAAAAUAGGUUAAAAUCAUUUUAAGUUUCACAUAGACUUAUGUUCUAUAAGAAUCAUAGAACAAUUUUUUAAAAAUAUUCAUAAAAACUAUUCUUCAAAAUUAUUUUGAAAAAUAGUUACCAAAUAGACUUUUGUCCUAGAUAUGAAAAAUCAUAUAGUUUUUUAUAAAUUGUUUUUAAUUUUUUAUUAUAUUUAUUAUUGUUAUUUUUAAAAAUAAAUUAGUUUAAAAAAUUAAGUUUCCUUAAAUACAAUAUUUACAUUUAUGAUGUAAAUUGAAAUCGAUAUUCAAAAUUUCAUAUAUUAAUUUUCCUUUUGCAAUGAUGUAAUUUCUUCUUAUUUAUUGAAUUUAUAAUUUUAUCAUCUAAUUAUAUAAAUAUAUAAAUUGAGAUCUCAUAUUACUAUGAUUCUAAGUCAUGUGAUGAAAAUAUUUUAUUUAGUUGCUUUAAUUUUAGAAAACUAUCCAUUCUUUCUAUUAAUUAUUAAAUAUUAAUUUCAAAAUUUUAUUUUUAGUAUUUAGUAAAAAACAAAAUAUUUUGACUUUUUCUAUUCAUUCAGAUAAAAAGUUAUAAAAAUAAGUAAUAAAUAAUAAGUUAAAAACAAACAAUUUAAUGUUUGAAAGCAAAUUACAUUCCAAUUAAGUUAAAAAACAAAUACCACUUCGAUAUUUGGUAAAAUUUAAUCCUUAUUAUUUAAUGACUUAAGUCAAAUUAUUCUUAAUAUGUUAACUUAAAAUUUGUUACUUACUUUUUUUUUUAAUCAUUAAAAUUGUUCGAUGAAAUUAACUUCAAAUUUAUUUUUAUUCCUCAAAUUAAUAUAAUUACUUUUGUUAAUUAUAAUUAAUAUUAAUCUUCAUUCAAUUAACUAAUUUAUUUUCAUUAAUUUUAAGCAAGACAUUUCUUUAUAAAACAUUUAUAUUUAAAGUAUUGAUAAAUAAGAUAACCAUAAAAGAUUUAUUAUAAAAAAUGAAUCAUAAAUUUGGAAUUAUAAUUUUAAAAUAUAUUCUCAUUAACAUAUGCAAAUGAAAAAAAAAAAGAUUUUGAGAUUAAGAAUAAGUUAAAUAUUUUGACUUAGUACUUAAAAGUUAUAAUAUUAAAUUAUUUUACCAAAUAUGAUUAAUCUACUUAAUGACUUAAAUUAAGUUGUCAAGUCAUUAAGUAAUUUAUCAAACACCUUGUUGACUUUAAACUUAUUGUUUAUUUUUUAUUUUAAAGUAUUAAGGUUGGUUGGUGAAAUUAACUUAAAAUUUAUCCUAUAUCGUCAAACAUAUUUACCCUUAUUAAUUUUAACUAAUAUUUAUAUUUUCAUUCAUAUUAAGAUAUAAACUUAUUCAUUAAAAAAAUCAUAUUUGAAGUAUUUUACAUAUAUAAAAUAACUACAAAAUAUUUACAUUCAAAAGAUGAGUUUCAAAUAUAGAGUUAUACUUGUAAAAUAUGGAAAAAUGAGAUAAAAAAGAUUUAAGAUUAAGAAUAAAUUACUUAUUUUAACUUACACUUUCUUCUUCUUCUUCUUUUUUUUUUUUUUGAAAUUUAAGUAGUAAUAUUAAGUUAUUUUCCAAAAUAUAUUUAAUUUACUUAAUGACUUAAAUUAAUUUAUUAAGUCAUAUUAAGUCAUUAAGUUCAUUUAUUAAACACCCUCUUAAAAUAUAUUUAUUUAUUUAUACUUAAAUCUAAAUAGAACUUAAUUUUAAAUACAACUUAAUAAUAUCAAAUAUUAAAUUAUUUAUUUUUUAUUAAUUUAUUUUUAUUAAGUAAUAAGUAUUAAUAAGGUGAGGGUCAUGCUAAAAUUGUGUUUUAAUUGUUUUGAAAAGUUAUUUUUAACGUUCAACAAAAAGUCAAAAUAUUUUGAUUUUUUCUAUUCGAUCAUUUUUAAAAAAAUAAGUAAUAAGUUAAAAAAAAAAUCUAAAGUCUAAAUGCAAAUUGCAUUAGACAUUAAGUUAAAAAAGCAAAUACCACCUUGAGCUUGGAACUUAUUAUCAAACUCAAAUAGUUAAUUUCUAAUGCUUUUUGGUUUGCAUGCCCAAUUUUAAGUUAGGCAUUUUAUAUUUUUCUUAACAAAAAAAAUUAUUUUCUAAAUUAAAUUGAAUGACAUUGGCCUUAAACAAUUUAGUUAGUUAUUGUCUAUGAAUCUAAUUGGACUGAACAACAUGAUUUUCAUUUGAGAUUUGGUCAGUAUGAUUCUCAGUGCAUAUAAACCAAUUACAUUAAUUUGAUUAGAUUUUAGUUUUCAAUGUGAAAUAGUUAUCAUUUGUAGUGAAUUUGAGGAAAUAGUAAUUAUUUGUAGUCAGGGAUAUUAGUUAAUGUUCAAAAUGAGAGACUAAUUUGUGGUCUUAGAAAAUGAGAAUAAUUUUUGUCAAGUUUUUAUUUAUUUAUUUAUUUGGAUAACCCAAAUGCCAAAAAUAUAUGUUCAUUUCAAUAUUUAAUAACAAUAAAAAUAAAAUUAGAAAAUAAACGCAUUUUUAUUAUGGUUACAUUUUACAUUUUACUAAACUUUUGCCCAUUUUAUUACUAGCCAAAAUAAAAUAAAAUGUAUUGAAAAUUAUUAUUAUUAUUAUUUGUGGUUUUCUCAAUAAUAAAAUAGAACCUAAUAACUUUGUUAUUAAUAGAAUUAAAAUUUAAAAUACUAAAAAAUUAAAGAGGGAAUGAAGAAUGCGAGAAAUGAUAUGAACAAUGUAAGGAUUAUCAUAUUUUUCAUACAAUUUCUCACAUUCUUUGUAAUUUUAUAAUUUUUUUUUCAGUUAAAAAUAUAAUAAUAUUGUUUAUCCAUAUUAAUUAAGCUUGGAAAUGAUGAAAAUUAUCAUUAAUAAAACAUUAAAUAAUUGUAACUAAAUAAUUGUAGAUGGUAGAAUAAGAAGAAUGUGAGGAAUGAUACAUGAGGAAUCCUUACAUUUUAAUUGGAGAGGGUACGAUCACAUACGAAGAAUGUUAUAAAAAAGUAUGAACAAUAUGAAAAUUCUUCACAUUUUUUUUGUCAUUCCCACAUUCUUGGUACCGUCCAAAAUUUUCUAUUUUUUUAUUUUAAGAAUUUUUUUUCCACUUCCCAAAAAUACUUUCUAUAUUUAAUCCAGUCUUCUCCAUAAAAAAAAUUACAAUUAAUAAUACAAUUUUUAAUUAAUAAUUGAUUGAUCAUAAUUCUAAUUUAAUAAUAAAUACUCAUUUUAAGUUAAUUAUAAAUGAUUUUUUCACGAGGUCUUAGUGUUUAAAAUUUAUAUCAUAAAAGGAUACAAUACUUCUUUGAAGACAUGGAUGCAAAACAAGAAGAGGAUAAGAAGGUAAGCAAUCGGAUUGCGGAAACAAGAGAAGUCGCCUACAAUGCUGAGGAUGCUAUUGAAAAUUAUAAUCUCCGUGAUUUUGCUAGUAAAUGGACCCUGAAAAGAAAAUUGACUUGGUUCUGAUUCCUCUAUUUUUUUAAGAAUACCGAGUCGGGUUCUUCUCCUACCCGUAUUGAAUAGAACAUGCUGAGGCAAAUCUUCUUCACUGCUUGCUUUAGAUCGGGAAAAUCGUAUCGAAUGUUGGAUCUGAGAUUGAGAGUAUUCAAAAAAAAAUAUCUCUGACCUUACAAGAAGUUUAGAAACCUAUGGCAUUAAAGCUGUGAAAGUCUGUGAAAGCUUGACUCGGGCCGUGAAUGUCAACAGACGUAAUCUUAUUCUCAUGUUAACAAAGAGGAUGUUGUUGGGUUGGAUGGUGAAUGAUGAAAGUUGUCUGGUUAUUUCUAGUUGCGGUAUGGGUGGUUUGAGGACACGAGUGUUACGAAUUACUUCCAAGGUUUUUCUUGGGCAUAUAUAUAUCCUGACGAUGCCGCGAAAUCAUGUUUGAAAAGUGGCAACAUGUUUCUUGAUAUUAAACCUAAUUUUGCAGUUCAAACAUAUCCAAAUUACAUCCUAAAUUGAUUUGAGUAUCUUUGAUAAUAAUUUUAAACACUAAGAAGGUUAUAGGGGUUUUAAUAUUUGAAAUAUAAAAAUUUUUAAAUGUUAGAAAAGUUAGAAAUAUUUUUUUAAAAUCAUUGUUAAAUGUCCUAUUUAAAAAAAACAUUUAUAAUCCAAAAAGUGUUUUAAAGAAAAACAAGGUAUUUAGUAAAAAUAUUUAAGAAAUAUUUAAAAAAAUUUUAAAAAUCAAUUAUAGUGUUGAAAAAACAUUUAUAAUAUUUUUUAGAUAAAGAUAUGUAAUUAUCCUUAAAACAUUAAGGUUAUGUUUGGUUCCCGGAAAAUACUAAGGAAAGAAAAAAAAUGCAAAGGAAAAUAAUUUUUUUAUGUUUGGUUGUCCUAUGAAAAAUAUCAAAGAAAAUCAAAUAUGAUUAAAACUAAUUAAAAACUUAUGUAUUUUUAAAUUAUUUAAUCUUUAUAUUGAUGAGUUAAAAUAAAUAAAAUGAGUUUAAAGUAACAAAAAAAAUAAUUUAUCAACUUUUAAUCUAUUUUUUUAUUUUCCUUCACUUUUUCUUUUCCUCUGCUUUUCCUUUGUAUUUUCUUUCCCUUGCAUUUUCCUUCAAAGUUUUUGGGAACCAAACAUAGCCUAAAGAGAAAAUAUUUCUGCUAAAAACACUUCAAAUGUACUCGAAUGAUCAUCAAUUGUUUAGCAAAUAAUUUCAUGAUUUUGAAAUGUUACAUGAAUUAUUUGACAAGGACAUAGCACCUACAACUGCAUUAAAAAGCUUGAAAAAUAAGGUCCCUCCAUUUAACAAUGGAAGAAAAUGUGAAAUCAUAUAUCAAAUUAAUAAGCUCAUGUCAUAAAACACAGGUAGUCAUGAAAAUUUUAAUAAAUUAUUUAGUUGAAAAGUCAAAUCUUCUUUGUGUACACUCAAAGGUCUUGCGUUCCAUGAUUCAAAUUUUAUUUAUUUUUAUCUUAAAAUAAGAAGUUGAAGUUAAAAUAAUUUAGGUCAUUGAUUAAUCUUCAAACAAUUAAUAAUAUUUGUCAUUUAAGUUUUUAGUAAAUGAUGUUUUUAAUUAAUAUUGUUAUAAUGGAUUUAUAUAAUCUUCAUAAUUGAAUUUAUUUAUUAAUUAAAUAAGAUUUCUUUGGAUCUCUCUUGUAAUACCAAAUAUGGAAAUAACUAAUAUUGAGAGUUUUGGAUCAGUGAUUGAUGUGAUACUUAUGUGAUUCGAAGCUAUAUUAAACAUAAAUUUUAAAAAACGACUUAAAAAUUAUAUUUUUAUAUUCCAAUGGCUCUCAAGAGACACGUGACAUGUUUUUUGCACAUAAUUAUUUCAAUUUAUCAUAUCUUUUUUUUUUAACUUGAAAUUAUGAUCCGUUUGAAACAUUAGAUUCAUGACUUCUUGAGUAUCAAAAUCAUAUGUAAUUUGGUGUGAUAAGAGGGUUUAUGGUUGGACAUUUGAAUCCAAACUUCCAAUAUUGAUCUCUUAUAGGAUAUUUUGCUUAUAAUUUUUCUUUAAAAACGACACAAAGAAAAACUGCAAAUGAGAGAGGAGAAAGCCAUAAACAUGGCUUGUCACAUUUAUUGCAACACAUUGCACACACGUACACACGGAUAAGAGUCCUGGGCCACCACGUGUCACCAAAUCAGAGACUCUGAGGGCAUUAUUUACUACAACAUAAACAAGAAAGCAAAAAACAUAGAAUUACAAACACACCCCUCUCUUCCAGCUGCUGGCCGUCACCUCCAUUCACAUGAUGACUUGUAGGCACGAGUCCCAAGGGUAGGUAGUUAGCGACUUAGCAGUGGCGGUGGUGGGGAGGGCCGUGCGGACCGGGAUGACAAUGAGGUCCCGGAGGAGGAGGGCAGUGGUGAGGAGGGCCGUGGUGAGGAGGGCCGUGGUGAGGAGGGCCAUGGUGAGGAGGGCCGUGGUGAGGAGGGCCGUGGUGAGGAGGGGGGCACAGCUGAGGGGGCGGCGGACCGUGGUGGUGGGGAGGUGGUGGACCAUGGUGCGGAGGGCAAUGGGGCGGGGGCGGAUGUCCGUGGUGGUGGUGGUGGUCGUGGUGCGGGUCGUGUGGUGGAUGAUGCAUCUUCUCUUCUUCUUCGAGGAAGUUGUGUUGUGGCGAAGGGUUGAAGGGAGCUUCUCAAUUUAUAGAAGCAAAGCUAACUUUCAUACUAUGUCUAGUCUUUUUUUAACUGCGAGUCAAACCUUCAUUUUUUUAUUUUUUAGACGGUGUCACCUACUAUAAUUAUUUAUUUAUUAAUGUAGAAAAUCCGCGUGAGGAUAAAAGCCAUGUGAGUUCUGAUGGGGCAUUGUCAGGGCCCCUGCAAGUCUCCGUCACCUCCGCAAUUCAAUCUCGCAUUCACAUUGAUGUAUUAGGGUUUUGGCCCACAAUAAUUAAUAAAAAAAAUCAUAUUAAUACUGACAUGUAAAAUGAUUCUCAAUUUAAUCCUUCUUUAUACAUGAAUUGUCGCCACCAUAAACCUUUUUUUUCCGAAGCUUCUUUUCUAUUGAUGUAUUAGGGUUUUGGCCCACAAUAAUUAAUAAAAAAAAUCAUAUUAAUACUGACCUGUAAAAUGAUUCUCAAUUUAAUCCUUCUUUAUACAUGAAUUGUCGCCACCAUAAACCUUUUUUUUCGAAGCUUCUUUUCUAUUGAUGUAUUAGGGUUUUGGCCCACAAUAAUUAAUAAAAAAAAUCAUAUUAAUACUGACCUGUAAAAUGAUUCUCAAUUUAAUCCUCCUUUAUACAUGAAUUGUCGCCGCCAUAAACUUUUUUUUUUUUAAGCUUCUUUUCUAUUUUUCUAAUUAAUAAUUACCUAACCAUGUGGCCAAUCUAGAUUAAAUUAUACAUUUUUUAAAAUCAAAUAAUAUUUGUAACAUUUGGCGUACAAUCCUAUAAAUAUUAUCUCAUUUAGAUUUAAAAUUGACAAUAUUUAUACAGUUGGAUGCAAGUUGUUAUUAAGAGUUUAUUUAGCUCCAUGAGGGAUAUUUGUCUAUUUGACAUAUAAUCUCAUUUAAAAGAUGUUUGUAAUAUACUAUAUUGGAUGUGAAAGAAAAUUAUUUACACAAUAUAAAUAUGAACUCCUUUAAAUCACUUAGACAUAUUUUGAAGUCAUAAGAACCCCUUUAAGCUCAAGAUGAACAUUAUUUAUACGAUUAAGUGCGAAUUAUUACAAAUUAUAUUAAAGUCAGUCCAAUAAUCCUCAAUUUCAAUGUAGGGGGUUUGUUUGGAACUCUUUUUAAAAAUAAAUUUAUGAUAUUAAAAAGUAGAAAAUUGAAAAAUAAAAAAUAAUGUUUGGAGAACUUUGGAUGAAAUUAGGAUGUUUGAAUUCUUUUUCUUGUUUUAAUUUAUUUUUAAAAAUAAUUAUAUAAAUAAAGAAUAAUUUAAAACAAAGUACAGUAAAUAAAAACUAUUUUCAAAAAAUAAGAAAACCAUGCUGAGAAUAUCGUAAGUUUUGAAAUAAAUUUGUCUUUAAAAACUAUUUUAUAAUCUUUGUAAAACAAAAGUUUUUUUUGACUACUUGAAACGUAGAUUGCAAGCUUAUGUCCUACGCGAGGAGGGAAACCUUCUAGAACUCGUGGACCCAAUUCUCGGUUCUAACUACUCAGAAGAAGAGGCAGCAAGGCUGCUGAAUUUUGCUCUCUUAUGCACCGGUCCAUCUCCCACUCUCAGGCCAAUAUCCGUGUCUUCUGUGUUGUCCAAGGCAAAAUCGCUGUCCAAGCACCAAUAGUCAAGAAGUGCUCAAUGAACCAGGACAUGAGGUUCAAAGCCUUUGAGAGGCUGUCACAGGACAGCCUAUCUCAUGUCUCGGCAUUCUCCCAAGAAAGCCAGGUGCAAGGCAGCAUAUCAAUGAACGGGCCAUGGAGCUGCAUAGAAAACUUGGAUUCUCUAUGGCAUAAAUUUCCUGGGAAUUCAUCCUUAAACUCACUUGCAUUUAUAAAAUAAUAAUUUAAUGAUAAAAAAACGGAGUUCAACUUUUCAAAGCUUUUCCUCUUACAUCCCCUCCCCCUUCUCCUCUUAAAUGCUCGAAUUUAUUCAAUUAAGAGCUCUUUGAUAGUAAUUAUGAAAAAUAUUUUUAAUAUUUUCAAUACUUAAAUUUUUUUAUCAUUUAAGCGUUAAAAGUUCAACUUUUCAAAGCUUUUCCUCUUACACCCACACCCCCACAUUCCCCUCUUAAACGCUCCAACUCAUUCAAUUAAGAGUCCAUUUGAUAGUGAUUAUGGAAAACAUUUUUAAUAUUUUCAAUGCUUAAAAUUUUUUAUUAUUUAAGUAUUAAAAAUACUAAAAACAUUUUUUAAAAUAACUUCCAAACACCCUCUUAGUAUAAAGCAAACUAGUCAAUCAAGAGUUGCUAUUGACAAAAAAUUUUAAAAAUAAGUAAUGAGCAAUAAGUUGAAAACAAACAAUCUAAUGUUUGAAAACAAAUAAUAUUCAAAUUAAGUUAAAAAAAAAAAAAGCAAAUACCAUUGUGAUGUUUGAUAAAAUUUAAUACUUAUUAUUUAAUGGUUUAAGUCAAAUCAUUCUUAAGAUAUUAACUUAAAAUUUAUUAUUUACUUUUUAUUUUAAUCAUUAAGAUUGUUUGACAGAAUUAACUUAAAAUUUAUUUUUAAUCGUCAAAUUAAUAUAUUUACCUUUGUUAAUUUUAAUUAAAAUUAAUCUUCAUUCAUUUUAACUUAUUUAUUUUCAUUAAUUUUAAGCAAUAAAUUUCUUUAUAAAACAUCUAUAUUUAAGGUAUCAUAGAUACAUAAAAUAACCAUAACAUAUUUAUUAUAAGAAAUAAAUCAUGGAUGUGGAAUCAUAAUUUUAAAAUAUAUUCUUAUUGGCAUGAGCAAAAAAAAAAAAAAAAAAAUAAAUUAACUAUUUUAACUUAAUCCUUAAAGUUAAACAUGAUUAACUUUAAGUUGUAAUAUUAAAUUGUUUUAUCAAACAUGAUUAAUUUGUUUAAUGACUUAAAUUAAGUUGUUAAGUUGAUUUACCAAACAUCCUCUAGUUAUUGACUUUAAACUUAUUGCUUAAUUUUUAUUUUAAAAUAUUAAGGUUGUAUGAUGAAAUUCAUUUAAAGUUUAUUCUAUAUCAUCAAAUUAGCAUAUUUACCCUUGUUAAUUUUAACUAAUAUUUAUAUUUUCAUUAAUGUUAAGAAAUCAAUUUAUUCAUUAAAAAUUAAUAUUUAAAGUAUUGUACAUAUAUAAAAUAACUACAAAAAUAUUUACCCUCCAAAGAUGAGUUGCAAAUAUAGAGUUAUAGUUAUAAAAUAUAUUUUACUAAAUAUGGGGAAUAUGAGAUAAAAGAGAUUUAAGAUUAAUAAUAAAUUGAUUAUUUUAAUUUAAUACUUAAUUUUAAAAAAUUUAAGUAGUAAUAUUAAGUUAUUUUACCAAAUAUGUUUAAUUUACUUAAUGACUUAAAUUGAUUAUUUAAGUCAUAUUAAAUCAUUAAAUUAAUUUUUUAAAUACCCCUUAAAGAGGUAUUUAUUUAUUUUUACUUAAAUAUAAAUAUAACUUAAUUUUAGAUACAACUUAAUAGUAUUAAAUAUUAAAUUAUUUAUUUUUUAUUAUUUUAUUUCUAUUAAGUAUUAAAUAUUAAUAAGGCGAGGGUCAUAUUAAAAUCAUGUUUUAAUUGUUUCAAAAAGUUAUUUUUAAUAUUAAGGAAAAAGUCAAAAUAUUUUGGAUUUUUCUAUUUAGUCAAUUUUUUUUUAAAAAAUAAGUAAUAAGUAAAAAAAAAAAUUAAAAACAAAUCAUUUAAAGUCUAGAUGCAAAUUGCAUUCAACAUUAAGUUAAAAAAAAAAAACGAAUACCACCUCGAACUCUUAUUAUCAAACUCAAAUAGUUAAUUUUUAAUGCUUUUUGGUUUGCAUGCCCAAUUUUAAGUUAGGCAUUUUAUAUUUUUCUUAACAAAAAAAAAAUGAUUUUCUAAAUUAAAUUGAAUGGCAUUGACCUAAACCAAUUUAGUUAGUUAUUGUCUAUGAAUCUAAUUGGACUAAACAACUUGAAUUUCAUUUGAGAUUUGGUCAGUAUGAUUCUCAGUGCAUCUAAACCAAUUACAUUAAUUUGAUUAGAUUUAGUUUUCAAUGUGAAAUAGUUAUCAUUUGUAUUCAAUUUGAAUUUAUUAGUUAAUGUUCAAAAUGAGAGAUUAAUUUGUGGUCUUAGAAAAUGAGAGUAGUUUUUGUCAAGUUUUAUUUUUAUAUUUGGAUAACCCAAAUGCCAAAAAUAUAUGUUCAUUUCAAUGUUUAAUAACAAUAAAAAUAAAAUUAGAAAAUAAACAUAUUUUUUAUUAUGGUUACAUUUUACAUGAACUUCUUUAUUUAUUUAUUUAUUUUAUAGCCAAAAGUUACAUUUAACUCAUAAAAACAUGAUACAUUUUAAUAUUUACAUUGAAAUUAAAAGUGGAGGAAAAAAUCUUAAAGUAUUUUUUAUAUUUUUUAUUUUAAUUAUUAUUAUUAUUUAAGAUGUCAAUAGUCUUAAUUUUAUUGUUAAAAAAUUAUUUUUACAAAAGUUUCUCAAACAUAUUUGUUAAGCAAGAAAGAAAACUUUUCUUGUUUAUAAAAUAAAAUAGAAAAUUGUUAGAAAAGAGUAAAGACAAUUUCCUUUAUGUUUGGUUAGAACGGAUGAGGCAAAAAGGAGCAAAUAAGAAGGGUAAAACCGUCAGAACAAAUUGGUUAUUUCUAUUUGCGGUAUGGGUGGUUUGGGGAAGACCACUUUGCCCAGAAGGUUUAGCAUGACACCAGUGCAACGAAUUACUUCCAAGGUUUUUCUUGGGCAUAUAUAUAUAUAUAUAUAUAUAUCCCGACAAUGUCAAGCAAAAGAUGUCCAAGUAAUUUUAUUUGAUCUCCUCCGUCCAAACAAAAGUAAAGAGGAAGAGAUGUUACAAAUGUGAUAGACUGAACUUGUUAGGAGAGUGUACGAAGUCCAAAUAAGAUAAAGAUAUUUAAUCAUUCUCAAUGAUGUUUGGACUAAAAAUGCUUGGAAAAGCCUAAGACUUGCAUUCUUAUUGAAACAAGGAGGUUCCAAAAUACUGCUCACUACACGGAAUAAAAAUGUAGCCAUGCAUGCAGAUAUAAAAGGCUUUAUUUAAGAAACUGUGUAGCCAUGUAUGCAAAUACAAAAGACUUCAUUUAUGAACCUCAGUGCUUGACUCUUGAAAUGAGUUUGGAGCUGCUCAAGAAAGCAAUAUUUCUAAGAGGCAGUCCAGGUAUGUAUCUUGAGUCACUCCGCUCUCUAUAUAAAUUGAGCUAUAUUCCAUUAUUAAUUUUUUUGUGACAUAAGGCUUCCAUUGAAUUUCAAUUGUUUAGACAAUUAAUAUCAGCUAGUUUGUUCUUUCUUUGAUUUUCAGAUUUUACACGGGAAAGUCUAAGGAAGCAAAUUGUGACGGACUUAGGUUUCUCCUAAACUCACAUGCAAUAUUUAAACAAUUCAAUACAUUUGAUGUUGUUAAGUCGGUCUUCUCGUUGUACUUAACUUUUUAGGCUAAGUUAGGCACACGACUUGAAAUUUAAGAAAACCAAAGGCAACACUUAAACUAAAGGAAACUUGUAUUACACAAAUGAAUGCUUACAAUGACUAGAUGCUCUCACUUGUUUGGUGUCUUGAUCAAAUGAGACUCACCUAUUUAUUGACACUUUAAGAACUUAAAAUCUUGAAGGGUUCCUUACAAAUCAAGAAUUCUUUAGAACAUCCUACACAAGUCCUAUGCAUAAGUAUUUACAAAAAAUCUUUGAAACUCUCCAGCUCCAUACUCUUCUCUUGUCUUCUAGCUUAGUGUAGAGAUGCGUGAAUAUAUAUAUAUAUAUAUAUAUAUAUAUAUAUAUAUAUAUAUAUAUAUAUAUAUAUAUAUAUAUAUAGAAAGAUUCCUUAUUUUUCAAUCCGAGCCACCUAAGCUUCAACUAGAUGCUUUAUGUAAAAUUAUUUGUAUAUGCACUACAUCAAUGUAAAAGGUUGGAUCUCAUAUAAAUUUUCCUGUCUUAUAGUUUUAAUUUGAUAAAAUUAAAAUGGUAAUAAAACUUCAAUUAAACUAAAUCUGUGGACAAAUACUUUACAAUAAAAUUAUUUAAUAAUAACUAUUAAGUACACAAGUGUAUUAAAAUUAAAAGGAAAACUAGUUAUGAUACGAAGAAGAGAUUAAAAAACAGUUAAUGAUUUAUUGUCGAUGGUCCACCAUUGACAAUCAGCAACAAGUGGAAACGGCCCUGUACUUUUCAGGGUACUAUGAUACUAAUAUGAAACUUGAAAUGAAAAAUAAUAAUGAUGAUGAUAAAAAAAUUAUAAUUUUUGUUGAGAUAUAAGGAAUGUUGAGAUAUUAUGAUAUUAGUUGUUCUUUCCUUAUAUCAUUCUUUCAUUGUAUUAUUCUUUCCCAUUCUUAGACUGGUGAUUAUCCUCUAUAUAUACUCUGUAGAUGAACGAAUGAAAUAAUCAAUGAAAAACUACCAUUCAUCAAUUUGAAGAUGGUAUCAGAGCCAUGAAGCUGAAAUCCUGGAUAUUUUGUCAGUAAGGCCAACCAUCGCCCCUCCUUCGCGAUAAAAAAAAUAAAAAAAAAAUGAAUGAAAAAAAUACUAUUGUUUUUCAAUCUGAAGGUACUUUUAAUCCAUGAAUUAUUUUAACUGAAUCAAACUAUGAUAUUUAGUCACAACUCGUGGAGAUGCAUAUUGUCGAAUGGGAAAAACUUUCCUACAUUCGAGGUAAGACAAAUCCACCAAAAGAGUCAGAAGAUGGAUAUGAAAAAUGGUAUGCUGAAAAUCAAAAGGUGAAAAGAUGGUUGUUAAUGUCCAUGAGUCCAGAAAUUAUGAAACGUUACUUAAGCUUACUGUAGACCCCUAUUUGGGUGCUAUUUCAUGCAGCUCAUUCUGGCCACAUGUCACUCCCGGAUUAGUCAAUAUGGGAUCACUAUAGUGGAAUUGAUGGACUAAUCAGGGGAAGACACCUGUAAAGGGAAAGAAUCUUCUAGAAGGGAAAAAGGUUUUCUGUUAUGGGAAGGUGGCAGAGCAGCUGCAGGGGGAAGAGCAUUUUUGGCUGCAGGGUGAUGGUUACUGGCAGAGAGCUGCAGGAGGGCAGGUGCUUUUGGGGACGUGUUGGAGGAGGCCGUUAGGGAUUUUUUUUGGAGAGUUUAGAGAGACAUUCUUGAGGGGCAAGCUGGAUAUGCAGAGAGGGGAGAGAAAAACGAAAGGAAAAAUCAGAAGAGAGAGGUACUUGGGCUGCUGAAAGGAUUGCCAAGGGAGUCCAGAGGGAGUUUCCAUUAGAGAGGGAGUUGAGAGCUGUUAUUGAGAUAACAGAGGAGGGUUUUUGACCAAGGGUAGAGGAAGCUUAAGUUGCAAAGGAGUGAUAGCAGAGAGCUUUGGGAAAAGAAGUGGUUCCUGGAGCUGCAGAGGAGGUUUUUCUGGAGAGUAUUCCUGGAGCUUAGGCUACUACGGAGGGAAGGCUUAGAGGAGAUAUUCUCUGAUAGCAAGAAGAGGAAACUUUCAGCGCAUUCGCGAUUGCCGCCCAGGUACGCAUCUAUUCAUAUUUUGCUCAUUCUUUAUACAUGCUUUGCUUCUCACAUGUGCAUGAUCACUCUGAGUAUUCAUUGAUUCCCGCAUCAAUUGCUAUGAUUGCUUCAUUUUAUUAUUAAAGACCCGACUUUAUGGACUUAGAGGGGUGCUACGGUCGUUACCGUAUCUUCCCGAUAAGUAACCUGACCCCCGAACCCGAUCCGGUUUUUCGUAGAUUACCUUUUCCAAAAUAAGGAGUCGCACUUAGGGUUUUCUUUCUUAUUUUGUUUACCCUUUUAAAAAAUAAAAAAAUAAGUGGCGACUCCAAGUCAUUUUUCUUAAUCAAUAAAAAUCAUUUUUCAAAUUAAAAUCGAGCUCGCCAUCAAGUGGGAAAAGCAUUGAGCCGAAAUACGGGGUCCACGAAAUCGGCCAUCUUCUUGUCAUGUCAGUUCAGUUUCUAGGACCGCACCUAUACAAUCGGUCAUCAUCUUAUUAGUUUGAGUCGGGGCCGCACCUAUACGAUCGGUCAUCUUCCUGUCAUGUCAGUUCAGUUUCUGGGACCGCACCUAUACGAUCGGUCAUCAUCUUAUCAGUUUGAGUCAGGGCCGCACCUAUACGAUCGGUCAUCAUCUUAUCAGUUUGAGUCGGGGCCGCACCUAUACGAUCGGCCAUCUUCCUGUCAUGUCAGUUCAGUUUCUAAGACCGCACCUAUACGAUCGGUCAUCAUCUUAUCAGUUUGAGUCGGGGCCGCACCUAUACGAUCGGUCAUCAUCUUAUCAGUUUGAGUCGGGACCACACCCAUAUAGAUCGGUCAUUCAUUCUUCCUAUCAGGUCAGUUCGGCGUCCAGGUCUUUGCUUCAGUAUGACAUUCAGGGUCACAUUUCCAUUUUGGGCGUUCAGAUUCAUUUUCUUCCCCUUGUUACCUUAUGCUUAUCGUUUCAUCAUUGCUCUUCUAGACUUCCCCUUCCAUUGCACAUGACAUAGUUCUUUGAGUUCGUGACACAUACUUUUGUCAUGUUAUUAGGCACCCUACACCCAGCAUUCUCGUAUAGCUCACCUAGGGCAGUCUCCUUUGAGCGUAGUCUUUUCUAUACUCUAGGGUGGUUCAACCGUUACUCAUCUUUGACAUCGAUCCUUGAGUCACUUUUGGAGACGUCUUAGAAGGAGCUUGGAUCCUUAGUGUGGCUUCAGAGGCAUUUUGAGACAUCUUUUUCUUUUAAGAUUAGAGCCUUUGUGUUCAUCUGUUAGUCUGAGUGAGUUUAUAUCUCACUAGUGUCCCUAUGGGGGUCUCCUUGGUUUUUCGGUAGAGUUCACUUCAUUGCACUCACUAUUCACACUUACUUUUCACUCCAGUGUUCAUGUUCUUCACACUCGUGAACUCUACCGAAGAGGGGCAUAUUUGUAGACCCCCUUUUAGGUCAUUCCUACCUUGCAGCUCAAUUUAACCACGUGGAAGAGCCUUGGUCAGCCACGUGUCAACACCUGAGAAGCCAUGAGAGAAUCAUAAUAGUGGUUUGGGGAGCCAAUCAGGAGGUGACGCGUACAUGGGAAUAUACUGGCCGUUAGAAGAGCAGAUGCUGGCAGCUGGUGGCAGCUAGAGGUGAGGUGCUUUUGGAGAGGUUUGCCAGCUGCAGGAAGGGUGUCGUCUGGCAGAGUGGAAGGAGGUACCUGGGCUGCUGGCAGGAGCUCUCUGAGCAGGCCGUUGGAGAUAUUUUGAAAAAGGAGGCUUUUCUGAGGGUCUCCAGGAUGGUCUGGGGAGAGGCGGGGGAGAGAUUUUUUUCAAGGAUAUUUUAGUUUCAGAGUUUUCCGGAGAGAACAGAGAGCUAGAGGGAGAGAAGAGAAAAGAAAAAGAAAGAAAUCAGAGGAGAGGGAGAUACCUGAAAAAGGAAGAGAAAAUGAGAGGAGAGCUUUAGAAAGAGGAGGAUAAGAGUUCUUGAGAGUUGAAAAAAAGGCUUAGAGGGGAUUAGCUAGAGAAGAGGGGAGAGCUUUCACAGGAGGUCAAGACAAAGGUGAGAGCAGAGUGUGAUAUUUUUUUGAGGAGGCUACCGGAGAUAUUUGGGGGAUUCUUUGCUUUCCGGUGAGGCAGGGAGAUAUUUGAGAGAACAUCUUCUUAGCUAGAAGAAAAGAACGGAGACAGAGGAGGGAGGAAGCAUCCUCAGGUACCUUCAUCGUGGAUUCCCUGUUAGUUUCUAUCGGUAUGUUUUUCUAUUCUGUUUCCGCUGAUUCUUAGAUGAUGUUUAUUGAUUAGGAGUGAGCAUGUUGAUAUUUUGCUCAUGGUCUUUUUGUAGUUUGAUUUGCUCUUGUUUUGUUCUUUUCAUGAGAUAUUUCCGUAACAGUGUUCUAUCUUUUAUUUGAUACUCGUUUGAUUUCACCCACCCUCACGAGCUCAUUGAUUGAUAUAUGAAAUGAGGCUUGAGUGAGUUCAUGUUGUUCCUAUUGCUUGCACUCUGUUUUUGCUGUCCGCCCUGUUUCUGGUACCCAUACCUGGAGUGCAUUAUUUUUCUCAUUUCUACCUUUGGAAGUAAGGAAUUACAGAGGGUCAUUCUCAGUAGGAGAGUGCUUGGUGAACACUUAGGCACAAAGAUGACAUGUUCAUCAGGGUAGGAAGGCCCUGAGUGUGCAGUUGCUGGGUUGAUUCAUUGCCUGAUAUUAUUGCCAUGCGACACAAGAAAGGUUGUCUCAUCAUUUGAAAAGAAUCUUGCCUGGCAAAAGGCUCUUUGACUAUGGGACUGACGAGUCUUAACCGGAGUUAUGCUCAUCCGUGCAUGGUUAUGAAAUACCAGAUGUGACUGUGUAACAUUGAGGUGUCUCACCUGUGGUAUUGAAGGAGCUAGAAACAGAAAUAUUAGAAGCCUAUGAGCAGGCUCCGGAGUCAGAUAAAUGCUGCGCGGGGUAUACCGUCUAAACAAUCAUCAUGGAUCGGGCCUUGAAAAUUCUUGGGUCAUGGCAAGCCUAGCACCAGAAGGUUUAUGAUUUGACGCUCGUAAUUGUGAUGCUAAAACGGAUGAAUGCGUUUAAUGGAUGGACGGAAUUUCUUCAUAUCUCAUGAUGAGAUCUUAAGAUAAUUUUGAUGCUAUGGGUUUGCAAGAAAGCCGUCUCCGAGCAGCCUGUUUGUGAAUUGGUAGAAUGUCAAACCUCGAUUGCAUGUAGCUUGUAAUCCCGGAGCAGAAUAAUUCACAAUGAGAGGGAAAAUGGAGGAAUUUCUGAUAGACCUAAUGUUGCUGUGGGUGUCUUCCAUAAGUAUUUUUGAAGUCGCAGGACUCUUAUUUCUUGAAUAUCCAGGUCUGGUCGCCUAUUCUUACAGACAUCUAAGGAGCUUGAGAGGAUGGAAAUAGGAUUGCCGGAACGUGGCAGGAUGGUGAUAGGAAACAUUCACCACUGUCAUUACUGUUGAGGGCCACGUGUUGACCAUUAUAUCUUUGCUUGAACUAUUACUGUUUCUGCUAAUUGAGGUGUCAUGCAGCACUGAAUCUCCACACCCAGGUUGAGGUUUAGAUCUUGGGGGACUGCCGAAACUUGCCGGAAAAAAUAUGACAAGGUAACCUCAUACAAACCCUUCUCUCAUAUUAUCCAUCUUCAUUCUUCCCACAUCACCUGCCCAUGUCCUCUCAUCACCUUUCCAAUUUCACACCUCCCCGCACCCGUGACCUUACUCGCAGCUAAACCCAUAAAUCCUUUCUCUCACUACUUCCCUUCCUCCAUCUCUGCAUGCAUGGCUGCUCUACCUCUUUGUGGCGAGACCUAGAAUAUAAAAGCAUCCGAUUGGAAAGUUUGCAAGCUGGGCUUAAAUGGUUUUCCAGAGGAUAAAUCCUUAAAUGGACCCUGUUCCCGUCCGUCGCUCUCGAUCUUCGUGGAAAAUGAAAGCGGGGUCACAUUUGAAACUUCCAAAGUGUCUCAUCUCAGUGCACCAGAAAUGGGUUUUCUAAAGGACAUGUGGAAUCCAUGGUGAUCUCUUGAUAUUGGAUCUUCACGGGAAUAAUAGGAUUGGUCUGUCACGGACCUUUCCUACUGUUGCAGUUCAACAUAAUUGCACCCCUGGGACCCACUUGUGCAUGAACUGCAUGGCCAUCUUCAGGCCACCUGUCUUUCUGCCAUUGCUCUCUCUUAUUUCCUUAUUAUUUAAUUUUGAAAAUAAUUCUUCCAGACCCCAUUUUGUAAAUAACCUUUUUCAAAUUGUGGUUUUUCAAAUAAUUCCAACUCUCCUUAGUUUUUCGUCCUUAGUUUUUUUUUAGGUCCCCAAAAUCACUUUUUUAAUCAAAUUUGCUUCCAAUUCCUAUUCGGCAAGCAAUUUUCAAAUUUAUUUUGGUAUUUUAAAACGUUUUAAAAUAAAUAUGAAUUUAAAUUCCGUAAUCCGGACUAAUGGAAUUUAUGGAAUUAAUUCAUGCAAAAUAAAACGGGCUUUGGUGGGGGCCCCACAUAGGUGAUUUUAUAAUUGAUUGAUUGAUUGUUUGACUGAUUUACUUAUCAUGCAUGAUUGAUUUAAUCUAUUCCUUGAUAUGCGCUUCACUAUAUUUGUUCAUUGUUCACUGAUCCUGCUUCAUGAUAGCGCAUUUGUCACUGAGGAUCCAAGUACGCACCUACUUUCACUCUGGUAAUUAUCCUCUAUUGCAUAUUCUGACACUCAUAUGUGCAUGAUUGAUUCAGGUAUUCAUUGAUUUCUUUAUUAGAUGCCACGAUUGCUUCAUUUUAUUAGUAGAGACCCGACUUUAGGGACUUAGAGGGGUGUCUUUUACCGUACCUUCCCGAUAAGUAAUCUGACCCCCGAACUCGAUCCGGUUUUUCGCAGACCACCUUUUCCAAAACAAGGAGUCACACUUAGGGUUUUUCUUUCUUAUUUUGUUUACCCUUAAAAAAUAAAACAAAAAUAAGUGGCGACUCCAAGUCAAUUUUCAAACAAUAAAUAAAAAAUCAUUUUCAAAUAAAAAUCAAGCUCACCAUUCGAGUGGGAAACGCAUUGAGCCGAAAUGCGGGGUCCACAUUUACCCACUGCUCAAGAAAUUUGGAGUGCAUUAUCAAAGGUCUUCUAUGAUGGAAGUGAUGAAUUACAAGUUUUCACUUUGAAUCAAAAAGCCUUCACUGCCAAACAAAAUGGCAGGUCUCUUUCUGAAUAUCAUGGAGAGCUAACUGAAAUUUUUUGCGAAUUAGAUCAUCGGGAUAAGGUAGUCAUGAAAGACUCUGACAUUGCAGCAUACUAGAAAUCCCUUGAACAACAACGAGUGCACAUCUUUCUUGUUGGAUUGGAUGGUGACUUUGAGCAAGUUUGAGGAGAGAUUUUAGGCAAAGAUCAUCUUCCCAAUUUGGAAGAAUGUUAUACACUGAUUCAACGAGAGGCAGUGCGUUAUGCUAGUAUGAAAGUAGAAUCUGACAACCUUGACACCUCAACUAUGGUAGUCCAACAGCGAUCAACCUAGAAUUGGCAUAACCAAUCUAAGACCAACCAUCCUAAGACAGACCCUAAUAUUAAUAAGUCAACCUUCAAAUGCACUCACUGCAAUAAGACUGGUCAUACCAAGAGUCGUUGCUUUGAAAUUGUGGGAUAUCCAGACUGGUAGGAUCAUAAUCGUGAUCAACGGAAGAAGGAUUCCAAGAAAACCUCGACUGCAGCUGUUGCCGAAAUAAAAACAGAGGCUAAUGUUGCUAAGAAAGCCUCUGCAUUGGUAGCCGCUACAGAUUAUGGUGGUAAGUUUUUAAAUACUUCUACACCUGUUAUUAAUAGUGCAUGGAUAAUUGAUUUUAGUGCUACAGAUCAUAUGACUUUUGAUUCUAGACAGGUCUCACCCCUUAGACAUUCCCUACAAAAAAUUGUUUCCACAACCAAUGGUAACACAACCCCAGUCAUUGGGGAAUGAUCCUUAACUCUUACUGAUACUUUGAAUUUGGAUUAUGUUUUAAUUGUUCUAUCUUUAGAUUACAAUCUUUUAUUAAUUUCUCAAAUCAGUACAACCUUAUCUUGUAUUGUCAUUUUUUGGCCUGAAUUUUGUAUUUUUAAGGACAUCCAAAUAAGAUAGACGAUUGAUUGUGGUAUUAAGCAGGGAAAACUCUAUUACUUGGACUUGCAAUCAAAGGAUUCAAAUAAGUUACGACAAGCCUUGAUGACAGAUGGAUCUGAGGGGGAGAAGAAAAAGUUUGAAAUUUGGUUGUGGCAUCGACGUUUGGGGCAUGCUUCAUUUGGUUAUUUAAAAAAAUUGUUUCCUAGUUUGUUUGCAAAGAGUGAUAUUUCUGGUUUCCGUUGUGAUAUUUGUGAAUUGGCUAAAAGCCAUCGUGCUUCAUUUCCAUUAAUUUUGAAUAAAAGUCUGUUUCCUUUUAUGGUUAUACAUUCUGAUGUUUGGGGCCCAUCCAAAGUCUCAACUUUGAGUGGUUCGUGUUGGUUUGUUACUUUUAUUGAUGAUUGUACCAGAAUGACAUGGUUAUACUUGAUGAAGACCAAAGAUGAAGUGAACUUGUUGUUUCAAAAAUUUCAUAAAAUGAUUGAAACUCAGUACAAUGAAAAGGUUCGAGUUCUACGUAGCGAUAAUGGUGGAGAAUAUCAGAGUUCUAAUCUUCAAAAGUAUUUGGAAGGACAUGGCAUCAUUCAUCAGACUACUUGUUCCAAUACACCCCAACAAAAUGGAGUCGCUGAACGGAAAAAUCGUCACUUGUUAGAGGUUGUUUAUGCUUCCUUGAUAGCAGCAAAAAUACUGAUAUCUUAUUGGGGAGAAACAAUCACAUCUGUCGCAUACUUGAUCAAUCGGGUACCUUUUAGCUCAAUUAAAUUCCAAACACCUCUCCAAGCUCUUAGUAAUGUCGUAGUUGCCCCAACCUUCCCAAAUCUACUCCUCGUGUUUUUGGUUGCGUGGCAUUUGUGCAUCUACACAAACACCAACGCACCAAGUUAACUUCCCGUGCAUUGCAAUGUGUGUUUGUUGGAUAUGCAUUGCACAAAAAGAGAUAUCGAUGCUACCAUUCUCUAACUCGACGAAUGUUUAUUACAAUGGAUAUGGUGUUUCAUGAAGAUUCGAUGUAUUUUUCAUUUGAGUCUGAACUUCAGGGGAAGUACCAGAAGAAAAUUCAGACUCUCGAUUAUGAUUAUCAUAUCUCUGAGGAGGAUGAAUCUGGACAAUCUGAACUAGUGAACCAGGAAGCAGGUGAGUUGGAUAUGAGUGGUACAACUUUGGAACCAAGUAGUAAUGACCACNNNNNNNNNNNNNNNNNNNNNNNNNNNNNNNNNNNNNNNNNNNNNNNNNNNNNNNNNNNNNNNNNNNNNNNNNNNNNNNNNNNNNNNNNNNNNNNNNNNNAAUAGAGGUAUUCCUAAACCCACAUAUGAACUUGAAUUGUCUACCAAAGUCAAAUAUCCCAUCAACAACUAUGUGUCUAACCAUCGUUUGUCUGAAUCAAAUAAGUCAUUUGUAAAUCAAUUAUCUACUUUAGUUAUUCCUAAUAGUGUGCAGGAAGCCUUAGCUGAUCCAAGGUGGAAAGCAGCCAUGAAUGAAAAGAUGAAAUCAUUGCAGAAGAAUGAAACAUGGGAACGCGUAGAAUGUCCACCAGGAAAGAAGCCAGUUGGGUGUCGUUGGAUCUAUACUGUGAAGUACAAGGCAGAUGGUAGUAUUGAACGAUUUAAAGCAAAAUUGGUAGUAAAAGGGUACACUCAAACUUAUGGAAUUGACUACACAGACAUUUGCACCUAUAGCUAAGAUCAACACAAUUCGAGUAUUACCGUCUUUAGCUGCAAACCUGGAUUGGCCAUUACAACAGUUUGAUGUGAAAAAUGUCUUUAUGCAUGGCGAGUUAUCUGAAGAAGUAUAUAUGGAUCUUCCACCAGGAUACAUGGUGUCAGAAAAGCAAUAUCAGAAGGUGUGCAAAUUGAAGAAGUCAUUGUAUGGGUUGAAGCAAUCCCCGAGAGCAUGGUUUGGAAGGUUCACAAAGUCAAUGAGAGCUUUUGGUUAUCGUCAAAGUAAUUUAGAUCACACUUUGUUCCUAAAAAAGCAACAUGGUAAGAUUACAACACUCAUCGUAUAUGUGGAUGACAUGGUAGUUACAGGAAAUGAUCCUGAAGAAAGAAAAGCUUUAUAAAAUUAUCUAUCUAGAGAAUUCGAAAUGAAAGAUCUAGGUCAUCUGAAAUGCUUUCUUGGGAUUGAAGUUUCUCGAUCAAGUGAAUGAAUUUUUCUGUCUCAAAGAAAGUAUGCUUUAGAUCUUUUACAGGAGACUGGAAUGUCGAGAUGUCAACUUAUUGAUACACCAAUAGAAGAAGGUUUGAAAUUGUGUGUUGAGCUUAAUCAAAUAUCAACCAAUAAGGGAAGAUACUAAAGACUUGUGGGGAAAUUAAUGUACUUAGCUCAUACAAGACCAAAUUUUGCUUAUGCAUUGAGUGUAGUAAGUCAAUACAUGCAUAAUCCUGGAGAGCAACAUAUGAAUGCAGUUAUGCGUAUUUUAAGGUAUUUGAAGAAUGCUCCUGGAAAGGGAAUUUUGUUCACUAAAAAUGUUGAUCAUUAGAGUAUAGAAGUAUAUACUGAUAUUGAUUGGGCUGGUGUAGUGGAUGAUAGGCGAUCUACAUCUGGUUACUUUACCUUUGUAGGUGGUAAUCUUGUGACAUGGAAAAGUAAGAAGUAGAAUGUCGUCGCUCAUUCAAGUGCAAAAGCGAAAUUUAGGGGUAUGGCUCUAGGACUUUGUGAGGCAUUAUGGCUAAAACUCCUCUUAUAGGAUUUAGGUUACCUAUCUAGGCAACCAAUCCAAUUGUUUUGUGACAAUAAAGCCGCAUGUGAUAUUGCUGAUAAUCUAGUACAACAUGAUCGUACAAAGCAUGUCGAGGUGGACAAAUUCUUCAUUAAGGAGAAGUUGGAUGAUAAGAUUGUGGAAUUGCCUAAGAUUCGAUCAGAAAAUCAAUUGGUCGAUAUCCUCACCAAAGCUGCAGUCUCAAGUCGAGUGUUCUAAAAAAUUUUAGACAAGUUGGGCAUGUGUGAUGCACCAACUUGAGGGAGAGUGUUGAGAUAUUAGAAAUGUUUAGAUAUUAUGAAAGUUGAGAUAUUAGAAAUGUUGAGAUAUUAGGAUAUUAGUUGUUCUUUCCUUGUAUCAUUUUUUCUCAUUCUUAGAAUGGUGAUUACCUUCUAUAUAUACUCUGUACAUGAACGAAUGAAAUAAUCAAUGAAAAACUACCAUUCAUCAAUUUGAAGAAUUUUAGCAUUUUUUAAAUAAAUAAUAAAUAAAAACACCAUCUUUAAAGGCACCUCCAUUUUAGGUAGGUGCCCACUGAUAAUCACUUACAUGUUGAUUGGGCACUUGCAUGCUUAGGACGGUAUCUAGGAACACGUGUGAUGAGUGGCUCCAGAAUUAAAUGGAAAAUUCUAACGUAUCAAAAGGUGUAUCAUAUCAAAGUGUGGGGUGAGAAAUUAUUUGAGUUUAUAGGAAAAAAAAAUGGAUAGAAAGGAAUAUGAUAUAGAUUUUCUCAAGUUUUUCUUCAAUAUGGUUUUGUCCGAUCCAAGUCUGAUUAUUCUUUGUUUAUCAAAGGAUCUUGAUCUUUUUUGUUGCUUUAUUGGUUUAUGUGGAUGAUAUCAUCAUCACUGAUCCAAACACUCAACUGAUCCAGUUUUUGAAAACGUUUCUUCAUACUCAGUUUAAGCUUAAGGAGUUGGGAUGUUUGAAAUUGUUCAAUCUACCACAGGUAUUGUGUUAUCUCAAAGGCAUUACACGCUUCAACUCCUUGAAGGUGUAGGGACCCCUUCUCUGAUGACACGUGGCACGCACCUCUAUCCGGAUCGACCCUGGCCGUACCCCCCCAAGAGGACACGUGGCGCACACCUCUAUCCGGGUCCCCCAGGGAGGAGCACACGACACUCGCAAGCAUCAUGCCCGGACGGCAAUAUAUCCUACCCGGAUAUAUUGUCCAGAUCAUUGACUAUAGCGAGCAUGCCCUGCUGAGUCAUCCUCGAUAGCCUGCCACCACCCACGUUCCGCCACCUGCAGGGCGAAAGGACAGGAGCGAUGACAAGUCGCCUCCCACGAUCUCUGACAGCCGCCUGCAGGGUGAUGAUGACCCUGCCACCACCUUGAGGGCAUCAUGACGAGCCAAAAAGUCUUCCCACCAUUAAAGAGGGAAGUAGAGCUUCUGACACUAUAUAAAAGGGUCUUCACACAAGGAAGAAAGUAAGCUUGCUAUCCCUGAGAAGAGGCCGACAGCUUAAUCUCUAGAGCCAUGGCUAACAAAAUCAUCGGAGGGUGUGUCCGGACAUCCUGUUCGGACAUCUUUUGCAGGGACAACUGAGCUAGAACUCAAUCUUGGUUGACAGCGUGCGUCCACUUAGCAGCAACGUGGAUCCCUGGGACGCAAGACCUCAACAGAAGGUACUGGGUAUCUUACUUGUAAGCUGACAUCUGCUCCUAUGGAUCCUAAGGUUCAGCUCAGUGCUCAACCUCGGUUACCUCACUUGUAAGCUGUUCAUCACCUUUUUAAGUCCACUCUAGAUCAGGGCCUUUUCUUCUCUUCCUCAUCUUCUCUUCAGUUGAAAGCUUUUUUCAGAUACUAAUUGGGGCUCUUAUUUAAAUACCAAAAAAUCUAUCAUUAGUUUCUUUAUCUUUAUUGGUGAUUUUUUGGUCUAUUGGAAAGCUAAGAAGCAAACCACAAUUUCUUGAUCCUUUGUAGAGGUCGAGUAUAGAACUUUACCUUCUACUACUAGUGAAUUGGUCUGACCACACCAAUUGCUGAAGGACUUUGAAGUUGUUAUUUCCUCUCUUGCACUUUUGUUUUGUGAUAAUCAAACUGUCAUUUAUCUUGCUUCUAAUCCUCUUUUUCAUAGAAGGACCAAACAUAUCAAGAUGGAUUGUCAUUUUGUUCGUGAUAAAGUUGUUUUAUUUGCUUAUUAAAUUGUUUUUCUAAAUAAAAAAUAGAAUAAUGUUAAACUUUUAUAUUUAACCACAAAAAAAAUAGUUAUUGAAUUUUAUUUUUGAGAAUGUUAUAUUAAAAUUAUUUUUAUAAAAAAUAAUAUAUAUAUUUUAAUUUUUUUAUUGGGCAUAUAUAUCCCGAGAAUCUCAAGCAAAAGAUGUUCAAGUAAUUUUAUUUGAUCUCCUAUGUCCAAACAAAAGUAAAGAAGAAGAGUUUUUACGCAUGGGAUAGACUGAACUUGUCAGGAGAGUUUACGAAGUCCAAAUAAGAAAAAGAUAUUUAACCAUUCUCAAUGAUGUUUGGACUAAAAAUGCUUGGGAAAGCCUAAGGUGGUGUUUGUUUUUUUACUUAAUUCUAAAUAGAAUCUUAAUACUUAAUAGUAUUAAAUAUUAGGUUGUUUGUUUUUGUAGUAUUUUAUUUCUAUUAAGUAUUAAAAAGUAAAAAAAAACCAUGAUAUUUUUUCUAUUUAGAAAAAGCCACAUAUUUUGGCUUUUUCUAUUUAGUAAAAAGUUUAUAAUAAGUCAUGAAAAAGUAAAAAAACAAAUAACCUAAAUUCUAAAACUAAAUGAUUUUUAGCAAAAAGCCAAAAAAACAAACACCACCUAAGACUUGCAUUCUUAUGGGAACAAGGAGGUUCCAAAAUACUGCUCACCACACGGAAUAAAAGUGUAGCCAUGCAUGCAGAUACAAAAGGCUUUAUUUAAGAAACUGUGUGGCCAUGUAUCAUGUAUGCAAAUACAAAAGACUUCAUUUAUGAACCUCAGUGCUCGACUCUUGAAAUGAGUUUGGAGCUGCUCAAGAAAGCAAUAUUUCUAAGAGGCAGUCCAGGUAAUUCCUCAUCCAUCCAUCUUUUAACUUCAUUACUGGUAUGUAACUUGAGUCACUCCGCUCUCUAUAUAAAUUGAGCUAUAUUCCAUUGUUAAUUUUUAUGUGACAUAAGGCUUCCAUUGAAUUUCAAUUGUUUAGACAAUUAAUAUCAGCUAGUUUGGUCUUUCUUUGAUUUUCAGAUUUUACACGGGAAAGUCUAAAAAAGCAAAUUGUCACGGACUUAGGUUUCUCCUAAACUCACAUGUAAUGUUUAAACAAUUCAAGACAUUUGAUGUUGUUAAGUCAGUCUUCUUGUCGUACUUAACUUUUUAGGAUAAGUUAGGCACACGACUUGAAAUUUAAGAAAACCAAAGGCAACACUUAAACUAAAGGAAACUUGUAUUACACAAAUGAAUGCUUACAAUGACUAGAUGCUCCCACUUGUUUGGUACCUUGAUCAAAUGAGACCUAUUUAUUGACACUUUAAGAAUUCUUUAAAAUCUUGAAGGUUCCUUACAAAUCAAGAAUUCUUUAGAACAUCCUACACAAGUCCUAUGCAUAAGUAUUUACAAAAAAUAUUUGAAACUCUCCGGCUCCAUAUUCUUCUCUUGUCUUCUAGCUUAGUGUAGAGAUGCGUGAAUAUAUAUAUAUAAAAAGAUUCCUUAUUUUUCAAUCGAGCCACCUAAGCUUCAAUUAGAUGCUUUAUGUAAAAUUAUUUGUAUAUGCACUACAUGAAUGUAAAAAGGUUGGAUCUCAUAUAAAUUUUCCUGUCUUCUAGUUUUAAUUUGAUAAAAUUAAAAUGGUAAUAAAACUUCAAUUGAACUAAAUUUGUGGACAAAUACUUUACAAUAAAAUUAUUUAAUAAUAACUAUUAAGUACACAAGUGUAUUUAAAUACCACUUAUUUAAAUAGUAAGUUAUUAUUGGUGUAUUUAAAUACUCCAAGUGUAUUUAAAUUUUCUUCUCAUCAGUUGAAAGCUUUUUUCAGAUACUAAUUGGGGCUCUUAUUUAAAUACCAAAAAAUCUAUCACUAGUUUCUUUAUCUUUAUUGGUGAUUUUUUGGUCAAUUGGAAAACUAAGAAGCAAACCACAAUUUCUUGAUCCUCUGCAGAGGUCGAGUAUAGAGCUUUACCUUCUACUACUAGUGAAUUGGUCUGACUACACCAAUUGCUAAAGGACUUUGAAGUUGUUAUUUCCUCUCUUGCACUUCUGUUUUGUGAUAAUCAAACUGUCAUUUAUCUUGCUUCUAAUCCUCUUUUUCAUGAGAGGACCAAACAUAUCAAAAUGGAUUGUCAUUUUGUUCGUGAUGAAGUUGCUAAUGGUUUCAUUAAACUAAUGCCUCUUCGCUCUCAACAUCAACUAACUGAUAUUGGAAUUCGGUGGCUACACAUUAGUUAGUGGGGGCUGAUUUCAUGCAAGUUGUUGAUGUGUAAAAACUGAGAAUUUGUGGAUGGGUUUUGUAGAGAAUUUAUAAUAUAAGUGGCUAGGUAAUGAGGCAUGGUGGCUGAAUUUUUUUGUGGAGAAAAUCAUAGAGAUUCUUUAAGAUUUAGACAGGAAGAUUGAGGGGUUGGUGCACAGCCAUAGGAGUUUUUUUUAGAGAUUGGGAAGAUACGGAUUGGUUUUGGGAAGGUUUGAAGAGACCCACGACAUUGAAAAUUUCUUUAAAAACUUUUAGAUUUUUUGGAUAGAAUGCGAAAGGAGAUGUAUAUGGCUGCAAUAGGGGACUUUUGGGAAGGAGUAUCACGACACAUAUUUUGUGGAGGAGGUUUCUCUUAGAUUGGAAGGCAUGUGGGCUGACAUAUUCUGAGAAGGAAAGAUUUACACGGCCAUGGAGAGUUUUUUUCUGGAAAGGUGGGCGGCAUUAAGAGUCGUCCGGGAUAUUUUUAGGAGACGUGGGCUGGAUAUAAAAUGGCUUUGUGCUUAAAAUAUAAACAAAUUUCAAAAUAAGCCUUGAAGUUGGCCCAAUGGUUUUGGACUAAGUUUAAACAAAUUCAACCAAAUGGACCCAAAAGGUUUGAUAUAAUUUUGCUUUUGAACAAACCAACCGUAUUGAUUCGAUCCAAUUUUCUUUCAUAAAGUGAUUGAACCGACUUUUUUAUAACUUUAAUAUUAAAACAUUCCUAAUUUUCCUAACUUCAUCAUUUAAUCAUCCAAGUGUACCAUCCAUGAUUUGCCAUUUUUCCUCUACUUUCUAUACAUUUGUUGACGUGGAUUGAUCCCCUUUGCUAAAAAUUUGAACUGUCGGCAACGGCAGAUUAUCAUAAUCCUCUUGGGCCAUCGCAUCUUCAUUACCUCCCAUAUUUAUUCCUUUAAAUAAGAAUAAUUAUCCCAUUACAAUCACAUUGUGCCAUAAAUCAUUCCUAUUUUGUCUUCAACUUAAGCGUCCAUAUCAUGUAGAUAUUCCAUGUCACCUACCACUUUCCCAUCUGUCAUAUUGGACUGAAUUAAUUACCCGAUUGUACCCUCUAAAUCAUACGUGGAAGUGUAAAAUAACACAAAAAAGAAAUUAAAUUGAUUUUAGAGUCUGUUUUGAUUAGAAUGUUGCACGUCUUGAAGUUCAUGUGCUUCAAAAUUUUAAUUUCAUGAAAGUGACAAAAAAGAGAGAUAGAAACCAAAAGGAAAAAUCAAGGAAGAAAGCAAUACCACCAUAUAAACAUGGUACUCAUUUUAUUAUAAUUACCACACCAUAUUUAAACACAAGGCGCCUAGUAUAAGGAUUUCCUCGAGGCUUCCCCACUUCACAGACGUAAAAUGGGAUCACAGAUGUCAUCCCGCCCUUAGUAGCCUCAGCAAAAGUUAAAGGAUAAAAAAAAAAAAAAAACAUUAGCACAAACUCUAGAUUACAAUAAUAUUAGAGCACCAUAAGCACCAGCUCCGGCCCAUAUGAUCAGUGGUGAUGGUGGGGUGGUCCGGGUUUGUGAGGCUCCGGAGGCCCGUGAGGCCCCGGAGGUCCGUGAGGCCCCGGAGGUCCGUGAGGCCCCGGAGGCCCGUGAGGCUCCGGAGGUCCGUGAGGCCCCGGAGGUCCGUGAGGCCCCGGAGGCCCGUGAGGCCCCGGAGGCCCGUGAGGCUCCGGAGGUCCGUGAGGCCCCGGGGGGCCAGGAGGUGGUGGAUGGGGCUGUGGGUGAGGGUGGCCGUGGGGACCUGGCGGUGGUGGGUUAUUCAUCUCUCUUCCUCUUUACCUUCCUUCUUGUUCUUCUUGUUCUUCUUGGUUGCUGCGGCGAAUGGUACGAGGGGCGCUUGCGAAUUUAUAGUGGCAAACGGUGGGUGGGAAUCUCUUCGCCCAUUGGUAAGUUCAAAACUACAAGUCAACAAUGUGGUAGCUGUGUCUACCUAGAAUUUAAUAGAAUCAUCCGGAUGAAACUGGUUUUCUAUUCUUUUGGCUUUUGUUUUUUCUUCAAUUUAAUGUUAUUUUGCUUUGAAUUUAGUCAAUUUACUAACAGAACCGUCCACGUACAAAUCCUAUCUCCUCGUCUUCCUCCCUCUGUUCGACACCUGUCUCUCCAUUUCUCAUGUCACAUCCCACUAUUGAUAAUGACAACCAAUAUAGAACAAAGACGUUGACCUAAAAUCAAUCCAGACAGGCUGGCCCAAGCCCAGAGUUGGGUUGGUUUUGGGCCGAACAUAGAGUCCACGCCAAGCCAGGUGAAGUUCCUUGAACUUUCGUUGGAACAAGCGUCGGUGAGCCCAUUACUUCGAUUCCUGGAUUAGAAUAAAGCGACUUAUCUUCAGUGAAAAAGGUCAAUCCAAUGACUACCAUACCUUUCCAGCUUCACAGCCAUUGCGAUCAGUUCCGCGUGGGAUGAAGUUACUUUGCCUCUAAUUAACAUUUAUAAAUUAAUAGUAACUUUUAAUAAAUUAAUUAAGAACAUUUGGAGUUUAACAUCAAAAUCACUAUAGUUUUCUUCCUUCCCAAGUAAAAGAAAAAAAAAAAGAAAAAAAAAAGGGCAAGAAGUGGCAAUGACAAGUAACAGCCCUUUCAAACAGGGAACAUGUUGGGAACCGACGUGGCACCCAAAUUGGGUGUCAAGGGCAAUGGGGCAUGAGGAUUUCAAACUAAACGUUUGGGUUUCAAAAUUGAAACGAUGGGCACUUGGGUGCCUCCAUUUUUAGGGCACCUGACACACGUGGCGCAUGAACCGGGCCUCAAAAAGUUCAAAAUGGCGUGGGCGAGGGGGGUCUGAACGAGGACAGCAGGCCCUAUUUUUGUUUUCCAGUAAUGCCCCCAAAAUUGUCUCAAAUAAUUGAGAGAUGAGUCGUGGAGAAAGAGAGAAAAGGGUCGCCCUCUGAAUUGGUUAUGUUGCCAUUAUCAUCAUUUCUCAUCUUCCCCUGAAACCAAACACACCGCUCCUUCUCUCUCC
rnacentral:lncRNA from 1 species